rnacentral:miRNA from 1 species
UGUGUGUGUGUGUGUGUGUGUGUGUGUGUGUGUGUAUAUACACACACACACAUAUACACACACACGUU